UGGAGAGGAGGUGCAUCAGGAUGCUGGCUGCAUUAGAGAGCGUAGGAAGAUUUCGGAUAAGCAGUGGUCUCAAGUGCAAUAAACUGCUUCCCUGAGAAACACCUGCAGCCUUGCACCCCCAAAAUGGAGAAAAGAUGCUGACCACAGCACUGCUCAAUCUGUAUGCAGCCGUGCCUGGAUUUGUUUCUGUUGUGGUCCAUGGGUCGUAUUUUAUUUCCAGUCAGCACUGCAUAUCUGCAGGGCUAACCCCUGGGGAAGUGCCCAACGGGGGACAGAGAACUCAUGGAAGGAACCCCAUUUCUGGGAGGAAGUCUCCAACUCUGAGCUAGGUGUUUGAUGCUUCCUUGUUGAUAUCUAGUCUGCUCAGAUCAUGAGGACGUCUUCCAUCGAGGGUCAUGGGUUCCAUUGGCUAACCUUUCCUUCUGUAGUGAUAACUUCUUCAUUUUUCCUGUGCUUUGAUUUAAAUGGAUCCAUCAUCAGAGACCCCCACCAGCCGGGACUUGCUCUCUUCUCACUACUGCCAUCAGGGAGAAGUUACAGGAGCCUCAGGACUCGCUCCACCAGGUUCAGGAACAGUUACUACCCCUC